rnacentral:rRNA from 1 species
CUGCUGCCUUCCGUAGGAGUUUGGACCGUGUCUCAGUUCCAAUGUGGGGGACCCUCCUCUCAGAACCCCUACGCAUCGUCGGCUUGGUGGGCCGUUGCCCCACCGACUACCUAAUGCGCCGCAUGCCCAUCCGUGACCGGAGUCGCCCCCUUUGGCCGGAAAGGGAUGUCCCUUCCCGGCGUCAUGCUGUAUUAGGCGGGAUUUCUCCCGGUUAUCCAUCUGUCACGGCCAGGUUGCAUACGUGUUACUCACCCGUGCGCCGGUCGCCGG